GUUAGUAGUCAGCUAUUAGCAAGAGAAUCAAUGUCCGCUUUGGGAGCAGGGGGUCGUGGGUUCGAAUCCCGCUACCCCGACA
rnacentral:tRNA from 1 species